rnacentral:rRNA from 1 species
AUGGCAGAUAUGACCCUGGGCUCCGCCCAGGGCGCCGUUGACUCUCUCCUGGGGCGUCUCACAACGCUCCUCGUCGACGAGGUGCAGCUGCUCGGUGGCGUCCGCCGUGACGUGCAGUUCAUCAAGGACGAGAUGGAGAGCAUGAACGGCUUCCUCCUGCACGUGGCGGAGGCCGCUGAGGAGGACCACCACCAGGUCGGAGCGUGGAUGAAGCAAGUCGCGGAGGUUGCCUACGCCUCCCAAAACAGCGUUGAUCGGUACAUCCAGAGCAUCGGCGCUGGCCGCAGGGAGCCAGGCCUCCUAGGCUACCUGCGCCGGCUGCCCAAGCUGGUGUGGACACUGCCGACGCGUCACCGCAUCGCCAAUCAGAUACGGGAGCUCAAGAUCCGGUCUUGCGAGGUGGGGGAGAGGCGCAUGAGGUACGACGUCAAAAUGCCCAAACUAGCUGCUGCCAGGGUUAUGAAGAAGGCAGGGUGGCAAGGUGCCCGAAAUGAUGACACCGAGGAGGAGGAAGAUGCUGAAGCCAAGGAGCCAUCAAUAUGGGAAAAGGAGACACGGCGCAGCUGGGCUGAUGAUAUUUAUCCUCACAACUACCGCAUGAACGGCUACUAUGAGUUGGAAUCCAUCCUGAAUUAUCAGUAUGGUGAUUGCCUUCAAGCCGUAGCGGUUGUAGCAAAAGGUGGGAAGGGCAAAUCCGUUGUAGGGAAGGCUUACCGCAACGCAUUAAUGGUGGGAAGCGCAAGCCCUCCUUCUUUCAAGACGUUAUUUGAUUGCAAGGCCUGGAUCUGCCUAGGGCAGGAAUCGACUGAAACGGCCGCAUUUCUCCGGAAGAUCCUGGCAGCACUAGACAGUCCAUCAGAGAUCGACUUGGAAUCCGCACAGCUUCAGCCGAAUGAGGAGGUAGAGCUUAUCACACCGCUCCAGCCGAAGGAGAAGGAAGAGCUUACCGCACGGCUUCAGCCGAAUGAUGAGGAAGAGCUUACCACUCGGCCAAAGGAGAAGGAAGAGCAAGAGCUUAUCGCACAGCUUCAGCUACACCUAAAAGGUAAAACAUCCUUGAUUGUGAUUGAUGAUGUCUGGGAUAGAUCUCUAUGGAACCGCGUCAAAUCUGCUUUCUCUGGGAUAGAUUUCUGUAAAAAAGUUGUCAUAGUGAUCAACACACCUUCAAUUGAUGUGGCCCAAUCAUUUUGUCCAGACCUAAAAAUAGAUUUGGACACUGGUAGUCAUUUUUACGUAGACAAGGCAAUGUCCCUCAUGAAGCUAUACAGGUUGGGCCAUCCUGAGCUGCGGUCCAUUUUAGAGGAAAUUGUCUCAAAACCAUUGCCAGUCAGGUUGUUUCUGCGUGCUCUGUAUGCCAAUCCUAACAGGACAGCAGCUGAUUUGCAGAGUCUGUGUGACAACCUGGACAACUCCACCACACUAUCAUCCUACAACGCAAGGCAAGUACUGAAGUUUUGUAAUCUGAGUAGCAACUGCAUCAACUGUUUGCUAUAUAUGUCCAUUUUCCCCGAAAUUAUGAUAAGCUUUAAAUGGAGAAGAUUGGCAAGAAUAUGGGCCGCUGAAGGCAUGACUGCUAGAAGAGGCAGACUAACUGCACUUGAUGAAGCUGACCACUGUUUUGAUCAGCUUAUCGCCCACGAGUUUCUUAUACCGGGGGUCAAAUCCGAUAAAGGAAAGGUGAUGUAUACAAGGGAUGACACCUUCCUUGACAUUUUUACACAGAUUGCAAGAGAAGAUCACUUUGUAAAGAACAACAAUCACCUUUACUUGGCUUAG